rfam:Alternaria alternata strain SRC1lrK2f unplaced genomic scaffold CC77scaffold_10, whole genome shotgun sequence.
UCCGAAUUAGUCCAUCGGCUAGGAUAUCUCGCUUUCACCGAGAAGAGCCGGGUUCGAUUCCCGGAUUCGGAA